AUUUAUGUCAAAGCUGAUACAGUCCCAACAGCAAUAAGUGAGUGUACCCUUUUUCCCACAUUCUUGUCAAAAUUUAUUGUUGCUUGUAUUUCUGAUAAUUGCCAUUCUGACUUGAGUGAGAUAGAAUCUCAGUGUAGUUUUAAUUUGCAUUUCUUUCAUUGCUAGAGAUGUUGAACAUUUAUUUUUAUAUUUAUUUGUUGAUCAUUCAUAUUUCUUUUUCUGUGAAGUGCCUGUUCAUUUCCUUUGUCCAUUGUUUACUGGGUUAUUUGGAUUUUUUGUUUUUGUUUUUUGAUUUUUUGGUGUUUUUUGAGUUCAUUAUAUAUCCUAGAGAUUAAUGCUGCAUAUAAGGUGCAAGUGGCAAAGAUUUUCCUCCCAUUCUGUAGGCUCUCUGUUCAUUUUUUUUUUCCUUUGGUGCCAGGGAUUGAAUUCAGGGGCACUCGAGUUCAAUCAAGUUUAGAGACAGGGUCACACUGAAUUGCUUAGUGCUUUGCUUUUGCUGAGGCUGGCUUUGAACUCCUGAUCCUCCUGACUCAGCCUCUCAUGUGGCUGGGAUUAUAAUCAUGUGCCACCAUACCCAGUCACAUUCUUGAUUGCUUCUUGUGUGAAGAAGCUUUUUAGUUUGAUACCACCUCAUUUAUUGAUCUUGAUUUUAUUUCUUGCAUUUUAAUGAAUCAUGUUUAGGAAGUCACUUCCCAAGCUGACAUGAUGGAGAGUUGGGCUACAUUUUCUUCAAGUAGGUGAAGAUUCUCAAAUAUAAUGCCUAGGUUUUUAAUACACUUUGAGUUGAGUUUUGUGCAUGUCACAUGGAUUUUCAGUUUUCCCAGCACCAUUUGUUGAAGACUAUCUUUUCUCCAAUGUAUGUUUAUGGUGCCUCUAGUGGGGGGUGACUAUAUUUAUGUGGGUUUGCCUCUGUGUCUUCUAUUCUGUAACACUGGUCUUCAUGUCUGUUUUGGUGCCAAUACCAUGUUGUUUUUGUUUUCAUGGCUUUGUAGUAUAAUUUAAGGUCUAGUAUUUCGAUAUCUCCUGCUUCACUUUUUUAAGAAUUGCUUUGGCUAUUCUGGGCCUCUUAUUUUUCAAAAUGAAUUUCAUGAUUUUUCCAUUUUUAUGAAGAACAUCAUUAGAAUUUUAAUAGGAAUUGCAUUAAAUCUAUGUAGGACUUUUGGUAGUAUGGCCAUUUUGAUAAUAUUAAUUCUGCCUAUCCAAGAACAUGGGAGAUCUUUCCAUCUUCUAAGAUCUUCUUCUAUAAUUUCUUUAAUUUUUUGUAACUUUCAUUGUACAGAUCUUUCACUUCUUUUGUUAGAUUAUUCCCAGACUGAAAAUUGGUGCAACCACUCCAAAAGAAGUAUGGAGAUUCCUAAGAAAACUUGGAAUGGAAACUCUAUUUGAUCCAGUUACCCCACUUGUAUAUACGAAAGGAUUUAAAUUCAUUAACACUACAGUAAUCCAGCCACAUCAAUGUUUAUAGAACAUGAAUUCACAAUAGCUAAGCUAUGAAAUCAAUCUACGUGCCCUUCAACAGAUGAAUGGAUAAAGAAAAUUUAAUGUAUAUAUACACUGUGGGAUAUUACUCAACCACAAAAAGAGUGAGUUUAUGAAUUUUGCUAAUAAAAUGGAUGGAUGUGGAGACUAUUAUUAUGCUAAAUGAAAUAAGCCAACACCCCCUCCAAAAAACUACAAAGGUUGAAAGUCUUCUCUGAUAUGUGGAUGCUAACACCCAAUAUGGGGGAAGAGAAGAAUGAGAUUUCAGUGGAUUAGACAAAGGGAAAUGAUGGGAAGGAAGAGGAAAAGCAAUAGGAAAGAUCAUGGGAUGAAUAUAACAUGACCUUCUUACCUAUGUACAUAUAUGAAUAUGCUGAAUCUACACAUCAUGUACAACCAAAAAUCCAUGAUCCUAAUUAGAACAAGAUACACUCCAUAUUUAUAUAAAUGUCAAAAAUACUCUACAGUUAUGUAUAACUAAAAAAAGAAAGAAAGAAAGAAAAAACAAAUAAAAAACCUGGUAGGGGAUCUUUUCUGAAAACCUGAAACUUUCAAGCCUUUGAAAAUCAGUACUCAACCCCACAAACCUAUCUGUGUCUAUAUUACACUUGACUUGUGA
rnacentral:lncRNA from 1 species